ACCGCGCCGGGCCGCUGAGGCUGCUGGGUGGAAACCGCCGCCGCGGGCCCGGGACUGUGAGUUCGAGCCCUGGCGAGCCCGCCCUACCCCACCCUCCCCGCAGCAGGCCCCUCCGAGACGCCGUUUGGGAGCGCUUUCCCCCAUGUGCCUCCCGCCGCUUUGGGUCAGGGGCUGCAAGCUGCUUGCCCAGCCCCUGUGCUUGCUCCAUCACGGUGAACCUGCAAAGGUGUGUUUCAGAGGCUUUUGGCCCCAGACUUUAUUCUGGCCGCCUGGAAAGCGGAGGCCGUGUCUCCUGAGUUUCUAUGGCCCAGCGCGGGGUGGAGGUGGGGCGCGCAUACACAGGGACAUGUCUGGGAGAGGGAUAUGCGUCCUCUUCCUGGGACCCCUCUCCCCCUGGACGCUCCCAUAACCGAACUGCCAACCCAGCCCAGCCCAGUCCAGCCCAUGUUGGGUUCCUAAGUCCCGGAAGCUGGGCACAGGCCCCAACUCGGUUCCCAUGGACACUAUUGCGUCCAUAUGCAGUGCCAGGCGCUUUACACACAUUAUCUCACUUAUUUCACACGUCCUUGAGAACAGGCACUGUUCACGGCAGAUAUUUAUUGCACGGCCACCCCCACGCUGCCACGCCUCGCUCUCAGAUGAGGAAACCGGGGGGAUGGGGGGUGGAUGGAGGCAAGAAUGGCGCUGGGAUCUGGCCACCGUCUCAGCAGCGCCCCCGUGGCCGCCGCACCCUCAGGCCUGGAGGCAGAGCCGGCGCCGGAGCGAGCUGCGGAUCUCCAGGCAGGCCUUGCGGAGUUCAUCGCAGUCGGGGCCCAGCACCUCCUGCUCGCACACCCGCCUGUUGACCUGAGGACCACACCCAGCCUGCGCCCGGGGUUACAGCCCUCCGGGGCUCAGCCUGCCCCAGGGGAGAGCCCCUGGCUUGGUACAUUGCAAGGCCUAAAAUUUCAAGGACUGCCUGGACAUCUUUGAGGCUCGCAGAGCUCCAGAGGCCUAACGGUGAAUUCCUCUGCUCUGGCCAGACAUGUCCCCACCCAGCAGGACAGGCUCCCACCCCCUAGGUCCCCUCUCAGCAGACCAGCUGCACCCCACCUGGUCGUCACCCUAAUGGACUUCAGCCCCCUGACAGGCCUUGGAAAUAUUCAAACCAACCAACCACAUCUGCCCGUGGGAACCAGGGGGCAUCUCACUCUCUUGUCACUACAAAGCCAGCUUCCCACUGGCCCUGCAGGUUCACCCUGCUCUGAGCACAAGCCCAGGUGGCCCCGCAUGACAUGCAGUGUCCUCCUCCCCACCCGACUGCAGUACGUGUGACUAAGAACUGCAGUGGAUGGCAUCUGUGCAGCGUCGGCCAUCCUGCGUUUGGUUAUCUUGUAGUAUUGAGGGCAGAGGAUCCCUCCUUCGCCAAUGGAGUUCAUAGGAGGUGAUCAGAAUACCAGGGCUGGGGAGAAGGGCAAACCCAGCUCCUUGCCACUUGUCACCCUGGAACCCCCCAACACACCUCAGUCAGCAGCUCCAGAAGGUCUCUCCCGGGGUUGGCUCUGAGGACCUCCACCAGUGUCUGGAUAAAGUCUGAGCCCUUGUCAUCGCGAUAGGCCACAUAGCCUAGGUCAGGGGAUCAGGGCCAGAGCAUCAGACCAAGGCCCCAACCCUCUGCCUUCCAAUCCCAGGGGUCCUAUUGUUGGUGGAAAGUGGGGUACAAGGAGGCAGGACCCAGGAAUCAGGCAAGAGAACAGGGCAGGGAGCAGGGACUUCUUGCAUCUGGAACAAGUUGUUGCUAGGUAUUUGCAGAGGUGAGCCUAUGGAGAGAUUCACUACUGAACAAACAUUUACUGUGCACCUACUAUGUGCCAGACACUGAGCAGGGCCUUGGGGCAGGCAGGUCUACCCUGGCCUCGUGGAACUCACAGCCUAGAGGAAACCUGCACACACAGUGGUUGGCACAGCUGCGCCUCACAGCACUCACCAUCACUGCUGUUACUACACAUCCUAACCCAUGUAGGGAACAUGGCUGGACCACAGCUGGGCUGGCAUCUCUGUGCCCCAACCCUAAGCCCUAGCUGCCCCUAAGGCUACUCCAGAUCUUAGGCCAGGAAGCUGGGCCCUGUGUAACCACAGGCUCCCGAUGACCCAUCUCCUUACCCUCUGCGGCUGAGUAGACCGUCAGGAUGUCUGCUUGGUCAGAGCUCCCUGGAGGGGUGCCCCUGCAGGAGCUGCCUGCAAGAGGAAUCAAUUCCAGUGAUCAACAUCGUGGAACUCCAUCAGCCCCGGGAGCUCCCCAUCUGUGGCUUAAGGGCAGCCCAGGGAGGUGGAAAGAGUGCAGGGCAGGAAUGACAGACGGAAGUUCAAAGCUCGGCCCAGCCACUUAACAGCUGUGACCUCAGAAAAGCUAUUUGACCUUACCGACUCCAGGGUUCUUGCCAGGCUCCAACAGGGGAAGAAGCUCCCACUUCCCAAAGGCCCUUGCGGUUUAGGAAGAUUUUUUUUCUUCCCAUUGUCUUGGCAAACAGAGGAUGCAGGUGGCAGCCAUACCCCAGCUUAGAGCCCUGGAGAUGCUCUCUGGACGGUCCCCACAACCAGCCCUGCCCAAGCCCAGGCCCUGGAAGGAAGGCAGAACCCACCUUGGGCCUCAGCGUAGAUCUGCAGGACAUCUGCAUGGGAGGGGACAGAUGGAGGUGCCCGCAGCCAGCUCCAGUACCAGGGGAGAGCUGUGGGCCCCACACCAGCAUCCCUGUUUCCUGAAGAGGGUGGGGAGAGGCAGAUAGUCUCACUCCGGGGAUACCUGGGGGUGCUCAGGGGUCUAGUGUGAAUGUGGGGUCAAGGUGAGAACCCAACUCCAGAGCUCCAGGGCAGGCUUGCCAGACUGGAGACAUUCAGAGCGCUGAAUGACAGGUGUUGAGAGUUAAGGGUUCAAGGUCGUGGACUUGACCUCUAGGAGAGGACAGGAGAGGGGGCAGGGAAGGGCAGGUACCCGGGCUCCCUGGAGAAGGUAGACAGUGAGUCCCGGGGGCUGAAGCUUGGCCGAGGAAAGUGAGGGCAGUAGGAGGCCGGGCCGCUCACCCCCACGGCAGGCCUGCAACAGGAAGAUCUUGGGGCGGCCCUGCAGCACCUGGCAGCGGCUCAGCUCCUGCAUGAGUGCCUCGGGCUGCACCUCUUGCCCGUCAGCCCCCAGCAGCUGACCCCGUGGUCCCCCAUGGGCCAUCAGGGCCACAAGGGCACAGCUCACAGGGCCCCUGCAGGUGUCCAGUUGCUCCCGGAACUGGGCCAGCUCCUCCUGGAAAGCCUGGGGUGGGAACAAUGUUGAGGCCUGGGCCAAAGCCACCGCCUCCCCAGCCACUGGCUGCCCUCUGUGAGGCUGACAAGGUUUCCCAGACCCUGCCCCACCUGGCCUCCCACCGCCUGCCACUCACAGGUCCAGGGAGGAAGCCCUCUUUUUUUUUUUUUUUUUUUUUGGGAAGGAGUCUUGCUCUGUCACCCAGGCUGGAGUGCAGUGGCGCGAUCUCGGCUCACUGCUAUCUCUGCCUCCUGGGUUCAAGCGAUUCUCCUGCCUCAGCCUCCUGAGUAGCUGGGAAUACAGGUACAUGCCACCACACCCGGCUAAUUUUUUGUAUUUUUAGUAGAGAUGAGGUUUCGCUGUGUUAGCCAGAAUGGUCUCGAUCUCCUGACGUCGUGAUCCGCUUGUCUCGGCCUCCCAAAGUGCUGGGAUUACAGGCGUGAGCCACUGUGCCCGGCCUGUUUUUGUUUUUUGAGACAGAGUCUUGCUCUGUCGCCCAGGCUGGAGUGCAGUGGCACAAUCUCAGCUCACUGCAACCUCGGCCUCCUGGGUUCAAGCCAUUCUCCUGCCUCAGCCUCCCAAGUAGCUGGGAUUACAGGCACGCACCACCAUGCCCUACUAAUUUUGUCUAUAUAGUAGAGACGAGGUUUCACCAUGGUAGUCAGGCUGGUCUCAAACUCCUAAUCUCAAGUGAUCCACCCGUCUCAGCCUCCUAAAGCGUUGGGAUUACAGGCGUGAGCCACUGCACCCGGCCAGAAGCCCUUUUCUAACUCCCUCCUGCAAGGCCUUGGCAUGGCCUCUUUAGAGGUGACAUAGAGACCCAGCUUCCUGGAGCCAGUUCUCCUCCUGCCCUCGUGGGGAAGCCGCACCAAGAAGUUGAGAGGUGUGAGGAGAGUGGAGUGGGCUGCUGGGAGCCAAGAGGGAAACCAAGACUUGGAGCUAAAGCUUUGAGCUGGGGAGGGGGCGGGGGGGCCAGAGAACCAGCCAGUGAGGAAGGCCUCGGGGACCCUGGAGACCAGGCUUCCAGAGGCAGGGAAGUGACGGGCCAGAUGCAGGCAACAGGGAGCACAGAGGUUAGACUUGUGGUGCACUUCCUGCCAGUGAUGGAGAGAGGCCCCAGGUUUCUAGGGAGGGGUGGUCUUCCUUCAGAGCACCAGUGGAAGUUCUCGGCUUCCCCUCACCUGGGCUGUAGGGUCCGUUCUCACGGUGGUCUCAAAGCCCAGGGCCCAGCACAGGCCCCCCAGCGCCUCCACGUCAUGCUGGGCCCCAGGCCGGCCUUGGAUCACAGCCAGGAGGAGGGCAGCCCUGGCCUUGGACAGGUCAUACUGUGUGCUGGGACCGGGGGCCGGCUGCAGAGAGGGUUAAGACACAUCUAAAGUGGCCUGAGAGGACUCCAGCUCCUGGCCUCCCCGGCCGGGGCCCCCCCUAAGCUUCUGUCCCACUGGAAACUGUGGCCAUGUGAUUGGAUCCCUGCCCUGCCCCCCUCACCUCAGGCCUCCAGGGCUCCACGCCUCCCAGGCACAGUGCCCCCCUCAAGGAGCUCCGAAGGACGGGGCAGCAGGUGCCCCCUGCGGACUCUUCAGCCACCCUGCGGAAGAGCUGGGGAUGGGGCCGAGAAAAGACUCAGCCAGGCUUGUGGCUUCUAUAGUCUCUUCAGGGUCACCUGCCAGAAUGCAGACAGGAGGAGGCCAGCAAAGGACAGACAGGCAGGAUGGCCUCAAGCAGGGCCCAGGCUCCAGUUCAGGCUCAAGGUUAUGGACUUCCCUGGGCAUGGAUGGCCUCGAGUGGACAGUGGCCACACCAUUAACCCCUGCCCCGGGAUCAGUGCGCAGAGAGGUGGGGAUGUUCCCUAGAGCGGGGCUGGGCCUGUCGGGAAGACUCACGGGGUGGGCACUACCCUGCUGGGCGAUCUGUGGAGGAGAGCUGGGGCCCCCUCAUCCCCAGGGCUGCCCAGGGGCCACCCAACUACACAGUGAGACCUUCAGCCUUGGAGACCAGACUUGAAGCAUUCCCAGUCCCAGCCUCCAGGGUCCUGCGAUCUAACAGGGCGGACAGCCACUGCUUGGUGUAGAAAGGGGCAGCCUGAAGUGCAAGCGUGGAUGCAAGGAAGGGCAUCGCUGGCAGCCUGCAGAGGACUGUGCAGGGCUCCCGGGACAACAGGAAGGCAUAGCAGGCAGAGGGAACUGCUUGGGCCAAGGCAUGGAGCUGGGAGGAGUCGAGUGUCGGGGAUCCUGAGUGGGUUGUCAGGGGUCCCGAGUUGAGGGUGAGGGGCUGAGACCACUUCUGUAGAAAAUAAAGGAGGUUUGUAGAAUGAAUCGGAGGGAGGAUACAAGUGAAUGAAUCUAACUGUAACUGGCUUAGGGGGGCACAGCAGAACCAGCGGAGACAGCAGGACCAGCCCCGCUUCCCUGGGCCUCCCCCUCCAGCGUCCCCACCUUCGUCAGCAGCUGCACCAGGGACCAGUGAGGAGAGCGGCCACACAGCUCUCUCAGGCCAGCAAGGAAGGCUCCGGGCUCCAGGGAGGCUGGGUAGAGAAGCAGCAUGUUGGCCUGCAGUGAGGCCCGAGGCUCUGCCCCUGGGUCCCUGCCCAGCUCCUGGAUCCUGACCCAGCUCACUCACACCCAGGACCACUUGAGAGCAGCAGGAAGACUUUGGGGCAGCCCCGCAGGGCCCGGCAGCCGCUCAGCUCCCGGACCAGCUGCUGUGGCUGCCUCAGCUGCCCUCUGGGGGCAUCAAGGCCACUAAGGCACACCCCACAGGGCGCCCGUGGGCAUCCAGCUGCUCCUGGAACCAAGCCAGUUCCUCGAGGAAGCCCUAGGGGCAAGAGUGAGACCGACCUGAGUCCGGGGAGGUUUUGGGUGGGGAGGAGAUUCUGGGUCAGGGGAGAGUGGGGAAGGGGUCGGUGCUGGGCCUGAGGGUGGAUGUAAGAGGCAGAGGCUCACCUGGACCGGGACCUCCCUCCUCUCGCAGCUCUCAAAGCCCAGGGCCUGGAACACGUCCUCCAGGGCAGUGACUACAGCGGCCGCCACCCCAGGGCUGCUGAGCAUCAGGGCUGCCCUUGGACCCUGGACGUCAUACUUCCCCUGGGGAGGCAAGGCCAGAGCUGGGCUGGGCUGGGCUGGGCUGGGGCUCAGCAGGGAGGCAGGAGCAGCUGGGCUAGGCGGUGCCUCCUGCUACCUUUCUCCCCAGGCUGUCUCGAGUGUCUGCCAUCUGCGUGGCCAGCCGCAGGGUCCCAGCCACCAGGAAGGCCAUAGGGCGAGACGGGGCUUCCUCCAAGCACCAAGCUCGGAGCUCACCUCCUGGCCCUGGGCUCUCAGUGCCCUGGGUCCUAACCCUUGCCCUCUACCCUAACGAGUACUAUCAGCUCUGCUUAUGAGCUGAGCUGGACUCUGCCCCAUCCCUGGAACCCUGGGUCCUGGCCCCGCUCUCCCAGCCUGGGCUUCAUUCUCUGGCUCCUGCUGGUGACUUCUUUGCUGGCACUGACAUGCCCCUACCCGAGCCAGGAACCUGUGCUCAAUCCUAUUCUUAGCUCCUGGCCUACGUGCUUAUCUGAUCUCGUUACACCCGAGUGUCUCCAUUUGGAGCCAGCCACCGCCACCAAGAAGUCCUUGUACCAUCCCGGCCACCCGCCACACGCAUGCACACAGCACCAGGCCCCCAGAGGUAAAAAUCACCAACUGGAAUCAGCCUUGUCCACAGCGAGACCUUGCUUGCUUCUUACGGGAAACGGAGACCAUGACAGUGACCGCAGGAUGAUGUGUGCAUGGAAGGUUGGCUAAGAAAGGCCUAGGGGCAGAGAGGGCUGGCACAUGCACACCUGUUACCAAGGGACCAGAGCGUCUUGUCCACCGGCCCCCGCCUCCCCUCAGCCAGGGGCCCUGAGGCCACUAGCAGGUGAAAGAGAAGGAACCAGCAUGGGUGGAAGGAGGGGUCGUGCCUGGAUGAUCACUAGUUUUGACCACGCACCCACCAGCCCUUGGUGGGUCCCGGCCUGGGGCUCCUGGUAGGGAGAAGUUGGAUGUCAGGGGCUGGUGGGAAGGGCAAGCCCGCUGUCAGCCCCUCCUCCAAGGGACUCAGCCUGGGGCAGCCUUGAGUUCCAGAUCCCCAACACGCAGCAAGAGGGUCCCACCACUGACCAAGCAGCGUCUAUGGGCCCUUCUUCCUUUCACAGUUGUGGGAGAGGAGUGGCCUGGUGAAGACCCUGAGUCCUGCUCAGCUCCCCGUUCUGCUGGAGCACCGACGGUGCUCCCAGAGCAGGGCAGGCACUAGCUGACACAGGGGGACAAGAGUCCCAGGGGACACGGCUGCCCAUUGGGGCCCAGCCGACCUGGACGCCAAGGACGCAGCUCCGCCUGGUCACGGUGCAGCAGCAUGUGCCACCAGGACACAAGGCCAGGGCAAGGGGCAUAUAUUCCAGGUAUCCCCACCCUCCAGCUACCGAAAGAACAGAACAGCCUGGAGGUAAGUUUUCACGUUUAUUAAUACUCUUCUGUUGCCCUUUGGAGGUCUGAGGGGGAGUCCUUGCAGGGCCUCUGGUCUGUCCCUGUUCAUGGAAGGCAGUGCUCAGGAGGCAGCAGCAAAGUGCCAAUGAAGCAGGGCGUUAGUGCCGAUGGAGCAGGGAGCCAGUACCGGUGGAGCUGGGCGUUGGUGCCAAUGGAGCGAGGCACUGGUGCCGGUGGAGCGGGGCGUUAGUGCCGAUGGAAUGGGGCACCAGUGCCGUUGGAGCUGGACGUAGUGAUGAUGGAGCAGGGUGGUAGUGCCGACGGAGCUGGACAUAGUGAUGAUGGAGCGGGGUGGUAGUGCCGAUGGAGCCGGACGUUAGUGACAAUGGAGUGGGACACCAGUGCCGAUGGAGCAGGGCGUUAGUGCUGAUGGAGUGGGGCACCAAUGUCAAAGGAGCGGGUCAUUAGUGCCGCUGGAGUUGGGGCGUUAGUGCCAAUGGAGUGGAGCAUUAGUGCUGAUGGAGUGGGGCGCCGAGUGGGGCAUUAGUGCCGAUGGAGCGGGGCCGAUGGAGUGGGGCGCCGAGUGGAGCAUUAGUGCCGAUGGAGCAGGGCGCCAGUGCCGAUGGAGCAGGGUGCCGGGGCCGAUGGAGUGAGGUGCUAGUGCUGAUGGAGUGAGGUGCUAGUGCUGAUGGAGUGCUAGUGCUGAGUCUGGUGCAGCCCCACCUCUGGAGGAAAAGAUGGCAGCCAGGCGCCCUGUUCUUGGUCUCCAGGGUUGGCCUCCUGUCGCUGGAGCCACCAUUAUCCUCACCAGAUUGGUGGGCAGGUGGCUCUCAGAGCCUCAUGCUAGGGCAAGUAGGCCGAGGGCAAAGGCAGGCCGAGUCCGUAUGGCCAGGACAGGGCAGAGUGGUCAUGGCCUGGAAACGGGAGUGGGAGGGGGCCAGAAAGCCCCUGCCGCCGUGACUAAGACCCGCGGUCCCACAGGUGUGGGCUGUCUCUCCCAAAGUCCAGCAGCCCCCUGGGGGGCCAAGGCCAGUCCUCCACGCCCACUGAAAGGCACAGGUUGGUAGGGCAGAGGCCUGACCCAUGGACCCACCCCACAGGGUGGGGGCCAAAGAGCCACACAGUCAAAUGAGGCUCGGGGGCUUCUGGGAAGGGACCUAGACCUGAGUCCUUGCCACCCUGCUGUCCCUGCCAGGAAUGUGUUGGGGCUCCAGGAAACUAGAGGGGAAGAGGAACGCUAGGCGCAGAAGGGGGAAAGAGGACAAGAUCGGGGGCGGGAGGGGAAGGCUUCCGUUCCCUUUGAGCGCUGGGCAGGUCCUCAGAGCCAAGCAGGGCAGGCGAGCUCCGAGUGUGAGGUACCCUGGGGUCCCUCGGACAGCCCGGGAGGUGGCCACAGAUGGAAGGAGAGUCCCAGUGGUGAACAAAGCAGGAUGUGCCGUGGCUGGGCCUCCCCCGGGUUUCCGGCCAAGCCAGCUGCUCACCCCACGGGCUGGGCCAUCUUGGCGUGCAGGCUCUGAUGCGCGAUGAGGUGCGCGCGCUGCUUGAAGCUCUUGUCGCACUCUCCGCAGCCGAAGGGCCGCUCACCGGUGUGCACACGCCGAUGGUCCAGCAGGUAGGAGCGCAGCGAGAAGCUCUUGCCGCAGUCGCUGCAGCCGAAAGGCUUCUCGCCCGUGUGUAUGCGCUGGUGGUCGGCCAGGUAGGCGCUGCGGCUGAAGCUCUUGCCGCACUCGGAACAGGAGAAGGGCUUCUCGCCCGUGUGCACGCCUUGGUGGCGCACCAGGUCCGAGGAGCUGCGGAAGCUCUUGUCGCACUCAGGGCACUUGUGUGGCUUCUCGCCCGUGUGCGUGCGCUGGUGCCGCGCCAGGUCCGAGCCCCAGCGGAAGCGCUUUCCACACUGCCCGCA
rnacentral:lncRNA from 1 species